UUGGAGGGCAAGUCUGGUGCCAGCAGCCGCGGUAAUUCCAGCUCCAAUAGCGUAUAUUAAAGUUGUUGCAGUUAAAAAGCUCGUAGUUGAACUUCGGGGUUUACUCAUUGGUCAGGCUUAAUUGUCUGUACUGGUGAGAUAAAUCUCUACCUUCUGAGGAACUUUCAUGCCAUUUAUUUGGUGUGAUCGGAAAUCAGGACUAUUACUUUGAAAAAAUUAGAGUGUUUAAAGCAGGCUAACGUCUGAAUAUAUUAGCAUGGAAUAAUGAAAUAGGACGGCUUGGUUCUAUUUCGUUGGUUUCUAGGAUCACCGUAAUGAUUAAUAGGGAUAGUUGGGGGCAUUAGUAUUCAAUUGUCAGAGGUGAAAUUCUUGGAUUUAUUGAAGACUAACUACUGCGAAAGCAUUUGCCAAGGAUGUUUUCAUUAAUCAAGAACGAAAGUUAGGGGAUCGAAGACGAUCAGAUACCGUCGUAGUCUUAACCAUAAACUAUGCCGACUAGGGAUCGGACGAAGUUAAUUUUAUAAUGACGCGUUCGGCGCCUUACGGGAAAC
rnacentral:rRNA from 1 species